rnacentral:rRNA from 1 species
CCCUGGCUCAGGAUGAACGCUAGCGGCAGGCUUAACACAUGCAAGUCGAGGGGUAUAAGUCUUCGGAUUUAGAGACCGGCGCACGGGUGCGUAACGCGUAUGCAAUCUACCUUUCACAGAGGGAUAGCCCAGAGAAAUUUGGAUUAAUACCUCAUAGUAUAGUGAUACCGCAUGGUACUACUAUUAAAGUCACAACGGUGAAAGAUGAGCAUGCGUCCCAUUAGCUAGUUGGUAAGGUAACGGCUUACCAAGGCUACGAUGGGUAGGGGUCCUGAGAGGGAGAUCCCCCACACUGGUACUGAGACACGGACCAGACUCCUACGGGAGGCAGCAGUGAGGAAUAUUGGACAAUGGGCGCAAGCCUGAUCCAGCCAUGCCGCGUGCAGGAUGACGGUCCUAUGGAUUGUAAACUGCUUUUGCACAGGAAGAAACAACGCUACGUGUAGCGUCUUGACGGUACUGUGAGAAUAAGGAUUCGGCUA